rnacentral:lncRNA from 1 species
AACAAUUCACUUUGCAAAACACUAGCUGUGUGUUUAUCUUCAAAGUCAACUUCCUACAAGCUUUUCCUGCUUGGAAAGAACAGAAUUCACCUUAGAAUGUCUGAUUCAGACUGGAAAAUGCAAGUUUUGCCUAUAUACAAAAAUAUGCUUUUUCUGUCUAGAACCACUUAAAAUUAAGCUUAUUGGCCAAGUAACAGCACUUCACUUUGCAAAACAUUAGCUGUGUGUUUACCUUGAAAGUCAACUUCCUACAGGCUUUUCCCACUUGGAGAGAACAGAAUUCGCCAAAGAAUUAGAGAUUCAGACUGGGAAACCCAUGUUUUGGCUAUAUUGAAAUUCUUCUUUUUACCCUCUAGAACCACUUAAAACUAAACUUAUUCGCCAAGUAACAGCCAUUCACUUUGCAAAUCACUAGCUGUGUGUUUAUCUUCAAAGCCAAGUUCUGCAAGCUCUUCCCACUUUGAAAGAACAGAAUUCGCAAAAGAAUGAGAGAUUGAGACUCAGAAAACCUUUUUUAGUCUAUAUAGAAAGGUUUCCUUUAUACCGUCCAGGACUACUUAAAACUAACCUUAAUCGCCACGUAAGAACAAUUCACUCUGUAAAAAGUAGCUGUGUUUUGAUCUUCAAAGUCAACAUCCUACAAAUUUUACCCGCUUGGAACGAACACGAUUCGCCUAAGAAUGUGUGAUUCAGACUGGGAAACACAUGUUUUGUCUCUGUAGAAAAAAAAUAUGCUUUUUAGCUUCUAGGACCACUUAAAACAAAGAUUAUUGGCCAAGUAACAGCAAUUCACUUUGAAAAACACUAGCUGUGUGUUUAUCUUCACAGUGAACUUCCAAAAAGCUUUUCCUGCUUGGAAGGAACAGAAAUCGCCAAGGAAUGAUAGAUUCAGACUGGGAAACUAUGUUUUGUCUAUAUUGUAUAGUCUUCUUUUAACCUGGUAGAACCACUUAAAAGUAAGCUUAUUCGCUUAAUAACAGCAAUUCACUUUGCAAAACACUAGCUGUGUGUUUAUCUUGAACAUCAACUUCCUACAAGCUUUUCCCGCUUGGAAAGGUCAGAAUUCUCCAAAGAAUGAAAGAUUCAGACUGGGAAAACCAUGUUUUGUCGAUAUUGAAAAGUGUGCUUUUUACCCUCUAGCACCACUUAAAACUAAUCUUAUUCACCAAAUAACAGCCAUUCACUUUGCAAAUCACUAGCUGUGUGUUUAUCUUCAAAGUCAACUUCCUACAAGCUUUUC